GACGAACCGUCCAAACGUUAUUCGGAAUUAUUGGGCUUAAAGGGUGCGUAGGCUGUGCAGUAAGUUGGGUGUGAAAUCCCUCGGCUCAACCGAGGAGCUGCGCCGAAUACUGCUGUGCUAGAGGAAGAUAGGGGUAAGCGGAACUGAUGGUGGAGCGGUGAAAUGCGUUGAUAUCAUCAGGAACACCGGUGGCGAAGGCGGCUUACUGGAUCUUUUCUGACGCUGAUGCACGAAAGCUAGGGGAGCGAACGGG
rnacentral:rRNA from 1 species